GGAUAAAUACCAUAUCCGUUGUUUUUUUCUAGUAUGUUGUAAUCAUUCUGUAUGCUUAUGAGAUCUUAAUAUGAUAGAUUUUGCAGACUGAGUCUUAUUUUAAUACUCGUAAGGACUCGCAUCACAUUGAUCAGUGAGUAUUUUAAUAGGAUGCUGCUGUAUUUGAGUUUGAAAAAUUAUGUAUGUUACACAAAAGAAUCUCAAACUCAUUUUUAAUCAUUAAAGUUGACAUUUUCUUAGUCCAAUACUAUUUUGAAUUACUGAUACACUAAAAUAGUCGAGUUUUGUAAAACCAAAUAGACCGAGCAUCAAUCGACGGGUGCCACAUGUGGAGCAGGAUUAGCUUACCUUUCCGGAGCACAUGAGAUCACCCCUAGUGGGGAUUGUGUUGCUUAGGCAUUAGUUUUCUAUAUCGUGUUUUGUGUACCGUUGUUUGUCUGUUUGUAUUUUUCCUUUUUUUGCCCUAUAUGUAAUACAUAUUUCGUACUUCGUAUAAUUGUAUACACAUUUAGGCAAGUUGAUUAAAUGAUAUACAACCAUUCCCGAUGGACUAAACAGAGCUCCAAAACAAUAGAUACUAGUAAUCAUAUCAAAUUUCCUUGAUAUAUUACGAAAAAUACACAUAUAUUAUAUAUUUUGCCCCCCCCCCACCCAAUAAAAAAAACCCCCAAAAAUAAGAGAAAAAAUAAGCCUGUCAACAUAAUGCAAGGUCGAAAACGCACGUCGAAAGAAUACACACAACUACAAAACAAUAGUAAUAUUUUAUAGUUAUUCUGGUGUAUGACCGACAAAAACUUUUUACAUGAGGAAUUCUCUGUUGUGAUUGAUAUUAUUAUUUAAUGUUUCAUUUCUUUCUUCUUUUUUUUUAUCUUUUUGUAGAAAUGCAGAAACUGUAUGUUGCGUGUAUUGUUCUUUUGGUCGCCAACAUGUCCAAUCUGUCUUACGGAGUAUCCACGACGGUGCUUGAAAUGUUUCCAGAAUUCAACGACCUUUUACAGAAAAAUAUAAAAUCCGAAAGAGAAAUUCGGUCAUUGAAGAAUGAUGUGUCCCGUCUACGACAGGAGAUGAACACUUUCAAAACCCAGACAGGAAAUGCUAUUAAGAAUUUAUUAAGCCUUCAUGGACUAUAAAGUUAAUCAAUGAUUGUUUUACAAUUUACAAACCCGUUUAUACGAAUCUUUUAUGGUAAUUGUAUUUAUAUUUAUAUUCUGGAAAUGUUUAUAAUUGUAUCAUGUUGAUACAUGUAAAACUUAGAGUAUAAUCUUUUAUAGUAAACAGAUGUAAUCUUUUCUGUACUUUGG
rnacentral:lncRNA from 1 species